rnacentral:rRNA from 1 species
AUUGAACGCUGGCGGCAUGCCUUACACAUGCAAGUCGAACGGUAACAGGUCUUCGGAUGCUGACGAGUGGCGAACGGGUGCGUAAUACAUCGGAACGUGCCCAGACGUGGGGGAUAACGAGGCGAAAGCUUUGCUAAUACCGCAUACGAUCUAAGGAUGAAAGCAGGGGACCGCAAGGCCUUGUGCGUUUGGAGCGGCCGAUGGCAGAUUAGGUAGUUGGUGGGAUAAAAGCUUACCAAGCCGACGAUCUGUAGCUGGUCUGAGAGGACGACCAGCCACACUGAGACUGAGACACGGCCCAGACUCCUACGGGAGGCAGCAGUGGGGAAUUUUGGACAAUGGGCGAAAGCCUGAUCCAGCAAUGCCGCGUGCAGGAUGAGGGCCUUCGGGUUGUAAACUGCUUUUGUACGGAACGAAAAGGCUCUGGCUAAUACCUGGGGCACAUGACGGUACCGUAAGAAUAAGCACCGGCUAACUACGUG